CCUACGGGUGGCAGCCGUGAGGAAUAUUGGUCAAUGGGCGCGAGCCUGAACCAGCCAAGUAGCGUGAAGGAUGACGGCCCUACGGGUUGUAAACUUCUUUUAUAAAGGAAUAAAGUGAGUCACGUGUGCCUUUUUGUAUGUACUUUAUGAAUAAGGAUCGGCUAAUUCCGUGCCAGCAGCCGCGGUAAUACGGAGGGUCCGAGCGUUAUCCGGAUUUAUUGGGUUUAAAGGGAGCGUAGAUGGGUCGUUAAGUGGGUUGUGAAAGUCUGCGGCUCAACCGUAAAAUUGCAAUUGUAACUGGCAGUCUUGAGUGCAGCUGAGGUAGGCGGAAUUCGUGGUGUAGCGGUGAAAUGCUUAGAUAUCACGAAGAACUCCGAUUGCGAAGGCAGCUUACUAAACUGCCACUGACACUGAUGCUCGAAAGUGUGGGUAUCAAACAGGAUUAGAUACCCGAGUAGUC
rnacentral:rRNA from 1 species